GAUGAAGAACGUAGCGAAAUGCGAUAAGUAAUGUGAAUUGCAGAAUUCAGUGAAUCAUCGAAUCUUUGAACGCACAUUGCGCCCCCUGGUAUUCCGGGGGGCAUGCCUGUUCGAGCGUCAUUUCACCACUCAAGCCUCGCUUGGUAUUGGGCAACGCGGUCCGCCGCGUGCCUCAAAUCGUCCGGCUGGGUCUUCUGUCCCCUAAGCGUUGUGGAAACUAUUCGCUAAAGGGUGUUCGGGAGGCUACGCCGUAAAACAACCCCAUUUCUAAGGUUGACCUCGGAUAAGGUAGGGAUACCCGCUGAACUUAAGCAUAUCAAUAAGCGGAGGA
rnacentral:misc_RNA from 1 species